AUUACAAACUUCUCUUUGAAGUGGCUCUCAUUAUAAAUUUUCACAAUACAAUCUGUAAGAUAAUCUUCAAGUUCCGUUUUAUAUUUUUCCUGGGUGAAGCAACUCUGUUGUUUUGAGCUCCCUUCAAUUAAGUUUUGUUUGGCUUUGGGACCUGCUACGGUUCUGUUUACCUUGUUACCGUCUGGUGAAUUUUUUCUGAAGGAGUUUUCUCUCUGAGAAUCUUACUCUUUCUUGGGUUUAUCCAACAUUUUAGUAGAGCUCCUUCCUCAGUGACUUCUGGAGAAAAAGCAUCUUACAAAUCUGCCUGAGACUUUAUAUAUCUGAAAAUGACUUCAUUUUACUCUCCUAUUUUUUGAUGUUACUAUUACUUUUCUUCAGAAGUUGUCUUGGUCUCUUUUUGAAAGAACUUUUCUUGCCAGCCACGGUGGUGAAUCCUGUAAUCCCAGCGACUUGGGAGGCUCAGGAAUUAGAGGGACAAAGAGAAGACAAGAACACAAAAGAAAGAAGAAAUCUGAGAGUGAACAGAUUGAUUACUGACCACUGAACUUGACCAAGUCUCUGGUAAUCUCUCUUAAGAGCUGGAAUUCAGCCCUAAGAAGACCUCUGUGUAACCAGAAUAGAUUCUGCACAUUCAGAAAGUGAAUGGAAGGUGUCAAAGCUGCCAUGAUUGCUUUUGGAAUAGCCUGCUAGAUUCAGGACCAAUGAUGGAGACUGUGCAAUUGAUGAUGUGUGAACAGUUACUCUGUUAAGUCCUCUUCUGCUGAAACACCUGCUGCACUUGAAGAAAUCUGGUUCCCCUAGAGAUGAGCCCAGGAGUGACUUCACUGCCCCCUCACCAAAAUCAAUUACCCUGAGCUUUGCUCUCCUAAGAAAAUAUUCAGGCUUUAGAGACAGAAUGGGUCUUGUUUCCUGUCUUGAUUCAACCCUGCUUGAUAUUUGGUCCUAACCAAGUCAUCGAAUCUGCUUCUUCACCACUAUGAUGAAUAGUAAUCCCUCUUCAUAGGGUGAAUGUGAGGAAUGAAAUAAUGGUUUGGAAGCACCUCAUGAAUAAUAAGUGCUCAGUAAAUGGUGCUGACGUUUUUAAAAAACUGAACGCAAAACAUUAAUUUUCAUUUUCUGACUAUACUGUAAGUUCUCUGAGUCCAGGGACCAUGAUGUAUUUAUCUUCAUUCACUUAGUACUUAGUGCAAUACCUGGCACAUGGUGGAUGCCCAGUGAAAUGUUUAUUAAAAUGAAUGCUACUAGAAAUAUAAGGUUGGAUCCAGUUGCUGAGAUAUAAUCAGGGGUUUGGAUAGCCUCAGAUCAACCUCUCUGAGGUCUUUUCCUUCUUAUUAAUGGCUAGUCAAUAGAUACAAGGAGAAAAUGAAGACAGGUAAGAGACAAGUAAGGAAAAAUACAACAUUGAAGUGCUAUAAGAAUAACUCACCUAUAAACAUGAGUGUUGAUGUAUAUUUUUCAACUUUUGAUCUUGAGUCAGAACUUACUACUCUUAAAUCCACAAUUGCUAUUAACAAGAUGAAAUGAUGGCUAUAGGAGCUGAUGGCAGGUGUGGAAAUAUAAGGUCAGCUUCUGUACCAUUUUCUGACUAUUUUCAUUUUCCAAGACCAAGAUUAAGUGUCUGACAUAGUUUGGAAGCAGUUAGUUCUCUUCAAACCUAAAUUAAAGCUUGGGCCCAAAGUAAUGGUACUGAAAGGACCUUUAGUGCUGCAGUCUGGCUGGGCACAAAAUCACGAGCCACCACACACCUUGUAGAUUCAAACAGCAACUCUUUAUUCUCGAACUGUCACCGGCACUUUACACACACAUUCUGGGCAAAUCCACGUUCUGGGCCAAAUCCACACACUCCACCGGGCUCUGAAUCCCAAAUACUCUCUGAAUCCCGCGAGAACUCAACGGGAACUCAAGGAGCGGGUGCGCCUGAGGCAGCAGGAUACGCCCUAUUCCCAGCAGGGUACACCUUAAACCUGGAUCCGCCCUGGUCCUUGAGCAAGGUCACCUUACAUGCAAUGUCACUGCAAAUGACCUGGGUCAUGCCAUGUGUCAUACCUACUUGGCAAUGGCUCUCAGCACUUUAGGAGCUAGGGGCUAAUUGAAGGCAACUGGGUCAGGAGCAUGCUGGUUAAAGGAAUUAAUGCUGGUUUCAUGGAAACUUGCAAGGGUGGAUUAUCUCCUGAGAAUGAGGGUUGUUAUAGAGAGUGAAGCCUGUCUUCUCUGCAGUCUUUUGCUUUCCUUCUGGUCAUUUGACCUCUUCCACACUACUGUGCCACAUACCUGCAAUACGAUGCAUUUACCAUGUUAUAAUAUAGCCAGAGUGCCGCAGUCUGGCUGGGCACACAAUCAUGAGCCACCACACAGCUUGUAGAUUCAAACAGCAACUCUUUAUUCCCGAACUCACACCAGCCGUCUACAAUCACGUUCUGGGGAAAUCCACGUUCUCUGCCCAAAUCCACAUUCUCUGCCCAAAUCCACCUCCACUGGGCUUCUAUCUCCCAAAAUAUACUGUCUGAAUCCCGUGAGAACUCAAGGGGAACUCAGGCAGCAGGAUACGCCCUAUUCCCAGCAGGAAUAAUCUUAAACCUUAAACCUGGAACCUAAACUGGGAACGCCCUAAACAAGAUUAUCUUAAAACCGGGAACACCCUAAUCUGCCUUGGUCCUUGAGCAAGGUCACGUACAUUCAAUGUCACUGCAACAUGGGGUACGCUGGCAAGGAAAUUGUCAUACCUACUUGGCUAAUGGCUCCCAGCACCAGAGAUCUUCCCAGAGGCCAAACAAGUGGGGACACAAAAUCUUGGAAGUUCAGUCUAUAAAAUUGAGAUAUCUCUCUCUCUCAAUAAAGUGUCAAGUAUUUCGCAACACAGAAUAUACUAAGAAAGUGUCCUUUUCUAACUUUCACGAAAGCUCCAUAUAUGUAAUAAGCAGCAGGGAUGCUUUUUGGUCUUACUACCAGGGAUGUGCCCAAGUUUUGAACAAAGCUUAUACAUAUUUGGUGGUUCACUUUAAGGGAAAGAAUACAAAAUUAUAAUUGUAAAAUUAGACACAAAAUUGAAUUUUUAUUUAAAAUAUCAAAAGAAAACACAACAAAUUACAAAUUUCAAAAGCUGACAAAUAUAGCAAAAAGUCACAAAGUCUGGGGAACAAACGUUUUUUUUGAAAGCUGCCUAACACGCCUUUGUAAAACUCCUUUCCUGCAUUUUUGGCUGCAUAGUAUGAUGACAAUUCUAUAUAUUUUUAAUAGAGAGAAUAGAUAUAUAAUUGUGUUUUUCUUUUUGUAUGGUUGACUUUUUUUUAGUUGUAAAUGGACAUAAUACCUUUAUUUUAUUUAUUUAUAUGGUGCCGAGGAUCUAACCCAGUGCCCCACACAUGUGAGACAAGAACUCUACCACUGAGCCACAACCCCAGCCUGAGGUUUUCAUUUUUUUAAUUUAUGGUUUCUAGAAGUUUCUGCCUUCAUAAAUCAUUAUAACAUCAUGCACUUUUUAAAAAUUGUCAAAUUUGGAAAUUUGGGAAACCUCUUCACAACUGGGGUCACUCAGGUGAAUUGGGCUGGCACGAACAAAUCACACAGACACAGAAAAUACCUUUUUUCUUGGGGCUUUUCAGGAUGGCUCCUCCUCCUCCAGCUUAAGCUCCCACAAGGGGCACAAGAGAAAAACA